AUUGAACGCUGGCGGCAGGCCUAACACAUGCAAGUCGAACGGUAACAGGAAGAAGCUUGCUUCUUUGCUGACGAGUGGAGGACGGGUGAGUAAUGUCUGGGAAACUGCCUGAUGGAGGGGGAUAACUACUGGAAACGGUAGCUACUACCGCAUAACGUCGCAAGACCAAAAAGGGGGACCUUCGGGCCUCUUGCCAUCGGAUGUGCCCAGAUGGGAUUAGCUAGUAGGUGGGGUAACGGCUCACCUAGGCGACGAUCCCUAGCUGGUCUGAGAGGAUGACCAGCCACACUGGAACUGAGACACGGCCCAGACUCCUACGGGAGGCAGCAGUGGGGAAUAUUGGACAAUGGGCGCAAGCCUGAUGCAGCCAUGCCGCGUGUAUGAAGAAGGCCUUCGGGUUGUAAAGUACUUUCAGCGGGGAGGAAGGGAGUAAAGUUAAUACCUGUGCUCAUUGACGGUACCCGCAGAAGAAGCACCGGCUAACUCCGUG
rnacentral:rRNA from 1 species